rnacentral:rRNA from 1 species
AUUGAACGCUAGCGGCAUGCUUAACACAUGCAAGUCGAACGGUAGCAGAACUAGCUUGCUAGUUGCUGACGAGUGGCGGACGGGUGAGUAAUGCGUAGGAAUCUGCCUCAUAGUGGGGGAUAACCCGGGGAAACUCGGGCUAAUACCGCAUAAUGUCUAUGGACCAAAGUGGGGGACCUUCGGGCCUCACGCUGUGAGAUGAGCCUACGUCGGAUUAGCUUGUUGGUGGGGUAAAGGCCUACCAAGGCGACGAUCCGUAGCUGGUCUGAGAGGACGAUCAGCCACACUGGGACUGAGACACGGCCCAGACUCCUACGGGAGGCAGCAGUGGGGAAUAUUGGACAAUGGGCGAAAGCCUGAUCCAGCAAUGCCGCGUGUGUGAAGAAGGCCUUCGGGUUGUAAAGCACUUUCAGUGGGGAAGAAAAGUUCAUGGGUAAUAUCCAUGAGUAUUGACGUUACCUACAGAAGAAGCACUGGCUAACUCUGUGCCAGCCGCCGCCGUAA